rnacentral:misc_RNA from 1 species
GUGAAUCAUCGAAUCUUUGAACGCAAAUUGCGCCUUUUUCGAAAGGCAUGUCCGUUUGUGGGCACCAUUCAACAAAUAAUGUGCACCGGCUUUUGUUGCAUUCGUGGAUGAGCUUUCCAAGCAUCUUAAAUUUCUGGUGGCGCAUAAUGAACAGCGUGAAGCUUUUUUUUCAGUUUGAGUGAAUUAAAAUCUUUGCUUGGGUGGUGAAAAGCGUAAUCGCGCAAUGGGCGUGUCAAUUUUGUAUUAUCCCUGCCCCAAUGCCACUCUUUCCCACGAAAGAAUGUCCAAU